UUCGCCGCAGUGAGGACCAUACAAUGUGGAUGUUGUAUAAUAUAGAAGACUCACUGGGAAGAGAAGAACAGUGCUGAAUAUAUUAUAUUAGUGUCCUGUGUGAAAGUGACACUCGCUGUGUACAUGUGUGUAUAUACAGCAUAUUGAAGAUAUUAUAUUGGUGAAGGUAUUAAUUAGUAUGGUUUACCUUCCCCUAUAUUCCUUGCAUGAUUACUUGUUACUGCCAAUUCUUCAUAACUUACUGGUACUAUUAACUUUGGGUGGGAUCAAGGAAGAGGAGGUACAGUAUUAAGCC